rnacentral:rRNA from 1 species
GACGAACGCUGGCGGCGUGCUUAACACAUGCAAGUCGAACGGAAAGGCCCUGCUUUUGUGGGGUGCUCGAGUGGCGAACGGGUGAGUAACACGUGAGUAACCUGCCCUUGACUUUGGGAUAACUUCAGGAAACUGGGGCUAAUACCGGAUAGGAGCUCCUGCUGCAUGGUGGGGGUUGGAAAGUUUCGGCGGUUGGGGAUGGACUCGCGGCUUACCAGCUUGUUGGUGGGGUAGUGGCUUACCAAGGCAUUGACGGGUAGCCGGCCUGAGAGGGUGACCGGCCACAUUGGGACUGAGAUACGGCCCAGACUCCUACGGGAGGCAGCAGUGGGGAAUAUUGCACAAUGGGCGGAAGCCUGAUGCAGCAACGCCGCGUGCGGGAUGACGGCCUUCGGGUUGUAAACCGCUUUCGCCUGUGACGAAGCGUGAGUGACGGUAAUGGGUAAAGAAGCACCGGCUAACUACGUG